rnacentral:misc_RNA from 1 species
GAUGAAGAACGCAGCGAAAUGCGAUAAGUAAUGUGAAUUGCAGAAUUCAGUGAAUCAUCGAAUCUUUGAACGCACCUUGCACUCCUUGGUAUUCCGAGGAGUACGCCUGUUCGAGUGUUAUGAAGCUCUCAAAACGCAAUUGGCUUAAAACCUGAUUGUUGUUUUGGAUUUGAACUUUGCCGUGUUAUAACGGCUGGUUUUAAAAGUAUUAGCUGGUACUAGAACGAAUUGGUUCUACUCAACGUGAUAAUUAUCUGAUCGUUGAGGACAUUCCUUUCACGAGGAAUGGCCAUAGUAAAUACAAUGGACUGCUUCUAAUCUGGCUUUAAUUCUUUAUUGGAUUAACCACUUUUCAAAUCUGACCUCGAAUCAGGUGGGACUACCCGCUGAACUUAAGCAUAUCAAUAAGCGGAGGA